rnacentral:ncRNA from 2 species
UUUCGUUCACCCUUAACUGGGCGCAGUUCGAGCUAUACCAAGGAACGGGGGAUAGC